rnacentral:lncRNA from 1 species
AGUCCUUGGACAUCCAGGUGCCCAACUUCCCAGCUGAUGAGACCAAAGGCUUCCAUCAGGUUCCCUUUGCACCCAUUGUCUUCAUUGAGAGGACUGACUUCAAGGAGGAGCCAGAGCCAGGAUUUAAGCGCCUGGCUUGGGGCCAGCCUGUGGGCCUGAGGCAUACAGGCUACGUCAUUGAGCUGCAGCAUGUUGUCAAGGUGAGAGCCAGCUGCAGCCUUCCUACUGCAGUGCCUGCUGGGGCCAAGAUCUUGUCUUUAACCGAACUGUCACACUGAAGGAAGACCCAGGAAAGGUGUGAGCUGGAAGCACUGAACCUACCUCAUCCUCCUGGAG